AGCUCCGCUCUGUCCUGCGCCCGCCCCCCGCUACCUCUUCGGCCAAUAGGACCGUGGCCAGCCGCCACCGCGAGGACUGAUUGGUCUAAAGGCACGUCAAUCAUAAGCGCGGAGGCCACGCCCACGCCUCACGCUGUGGGGCAGGGGCCGGCGGCGCUGCCGGGUUCCUUUGGAAUUGGAAGGAAAUUCACCAAUGUGCGGCUGCCAAAGGGAUUUUUCGGCUCUAAUCCCAUUGUUAAGAUGCCGGAGCUUUCUAAAACUGCUGUUGUUCAACAGUUGUAACAGAGGAAGUUACAGGUUCGGCACCGUGAAAGCUGCACGUCCUUACGGAGUUUCUGAGGCAUGUACCUCGGGAACCUUUUCCACUCAUCCUUCUGCUGUCAUGCCUGGUGUAAAUAUCAGAGCACAGAAAAAGCAUGGAAAGAACAACAAAGAAUAACAAGGCAGAGGAUUGAGGGUCACCAGAUCUAAUGGAAACCAUGGAAAACACUGAAAUACAUCUUCAGAAGAGGUGGGCUUUAGGGGAUCAUUGAGGGGACAACAAGAAUGACUUCAGUGAUUUCGGAGCAGUUGCCUUCAACCUUUGAGUGAUGAUUUCUAAAUUUCAUUGGGAAUAUGGGAUCAUGGCACUGACUGGAAAAUAAAAUCAUCAUAGGGAGUUUAUGGGGAAAAAUCAACAGCAACAAACACAGCAACCCGUGGAAUGGCAACAAACCAGGUGAAUUUGUGGCAACCACAGCAAAUAUGGAUGCUGGAAAACAAGGAAAGGCAAACAAGUGGAUUUAUGAGGUUUCUUUGCAGAUAGGCAAAGUUUUCUGGUGUUUAGUGGAAAGUGUGAAAAAACUCUUGAGUUCACCAGAGAAAUCAGAGAUAAGAAGAUUAGGGGUCAUGAAGUAAAAAGGUAUUUAUAGGUAGAGCUACUGCCCCACCUUCUCCAGAAUGAACAAUCCUGGCCUCUCAGUCUCUCAAAUGACAGGAAGUCCAGUCCCUUAAUCAUCUUUGUGUCCCGUUGAUGGACUAACUCCAGUUUGUCUGCACCUCUUUUAUACUGGAAAACCCAGAGCUGGACUCUGAUUCCAUCUGAAUCUCAUCAGUGCUGAGCAGAGCAGAGGAUCAUCUCCUCCACCUGCUGGCAGUGUUUUUCCUGGGAUGCUGCUGGCUUUCAUUGCCACAGGGAUGUAUUUCCAGCUCACAUCCAACUUGUUUUCCAACAGGUCUUUUUAUCCAAAGUUGUUUUCCACUUAGAUUGAAAGGAGCAAAAAAAAUAAAUCAAUUUGUCAAUGAGGAUGUUGCAGGAGUGAGUGUCAAAAGCCUUGCUGUGGUGAAGAUAAUAUCCACUGCCCUUCCCUAAUCCAUCAUACCACUGAUAUCAUCAUGGAAGGCAUCAUUUCCCCUUCCUAAAUAGCUGGAGAAUGGAUUAAGAGCAGCCUGGAAAAGACUUGGUGGUGUUCGCUGAUGAGAAGCUCAGCAAGACCCAGCAACACACACUUGCAAUCCAGAAAGACAACUGUAUCCUGCAUCAAGUACUGGGAAUUUAUUCUUCCCUGUGGGGGUGCUGACACACAGGCACAGGUUGUCCAGACAUGUUGUGGAAUCCCCAUCCCUGGAAGGCUUCAAAGGCCAGGCUGGAUAGGGCUUGGAGCAACCUGGUCU